CCCCAACUUUUUCUGGUUGACCUCGAAUCAGGUAGGACUACCCGCUGAACUUAAGCAUAUCAAUAAGCGGAGGAAAAGAAACCAACAGGGAUUGCCCUAGUAACGGCGAGUGAAGCGGCAACAGCUCAAAUUUGAAAUCUGGCCCUCGGGUCCGAGUUGUAAUUUGUAGAGGAUGCUUUUGGUGAGGUGCCUUCCGAGUUCCCUGGAACGGGACGCCAUAGAGGGUGAGAGCCCCGUCUGGUUGGACACCGAACCUCUGUAAAGCUCCUUCGACGAGUCGAGUAGUUUGGGAAUGCUGCUCUAAAUGGGAGGUAUAUGUCUUCUAAAGCUAAAUACCGGCCAGAGACCGAUAGCGCACAAGUAGAGUGAUCGAAAGAUGAAAAGCACUUUGAAAAGAGAGUUAAAAAGUACGUGAAAUUGUUGAAAGGGAAGCGCUUAUGACCAGACUUGGGCUUGGUUGAUCAUCCUGGGUUCUCCCUGGUGCACUCUUCCAGUUCAGGCCAGCAUCAGUUCGCUGCGGGGGAUAAAAGCUUUAGGAAUGUGGCUCCUUCGGGAGUGUUAUAGCCUAUUGCAUAAUACCCUGCUCCGGACUGAGGUUCGCGCAUCUGCAAGGAUGCUGGCGUAAUGGUCAUCAGCGACCCGUCUUGAAACACGGACCAAGGAGUCGUCUUCGUAUGCGAGUGUUCGGGUGUUAAACCCCUACGCGUAAUGAAAGUGAACGCAGGUGAGAGCUUCGGCGCAUCAUCGACCGAUCCUGAUGUUCUCGGAUGGAUUUGAGUAAGAGCAUACGGGGCCGGACCC
rnacentral:rRNA from 1 species